rnacentral:rRNA from 1 species
GACGAACGCUGGCGGCGUGCUUAACACAUGCAAGUCGAGCGGAAAGGCCUCUUCGGGGGUACCCGAGCGGCGAACGGGUGAGUAACACGUGAGUAAUCUGCCCUUCACUCUGGGAUAGCCACCGGAAACGGUGAUUAAUACCGGAUACGACACGUCCAGGCAUCUGGUGCGUGUGGAAACUUUUUGGGUGGGGGAUGUGCUCGCGGCCUAUCAGCUUGUUGGUGGGGUAAUGGCCUACCAAGGCUUCGACGGGUAGCCGGCCUGAGAGGGUGGCCGGCCACACUGGGACUGAGACACGGCCCAGACUCCUACGGGAGGCAGCAGUGGGGAAUAUUGGACAAUGGGCGGAAGCCUGAUCCAGCAACGUCGCGUGAGGGAUGACGGCCUUCGGGUUGUAAACCUCUUUCAGCACCGACGAAGCGAUCCUUUGGGGAGUGACGGUAGGUGCAGAAGAAGGACCGGCCAACUACGUGCCAGCAGCCGCCGUAAUAC